rnacentral:rRNA from 1 species
GACGAACGCUGGCGGCGUGCCUAAUACAUGCAAGUCGAACGCACUCUCGUUUAGAUUGAAGGAGCUUGCUCCUGAUUGAUAAACAUUUGAGUGAGUGGCGGACGGGUGAGUAACACGUGGGUAACCUGCCCUAAAGUGGGGGAUAACAUUUGGAAACAGAUGCUAAUACCGCAUAAAACCUAAACACCGCAUGGUGUAGGGUUGAAAGAUGGUUUCGGCUAUCACUUUAGGAUGGACCCGCGGUGCAUUAGUUAGUUGGUGAGGUAAAGGCUCACCAAGACCGUGAUGCAUAGCCGACCUGAGAGGGUAAUCGGCCACACUGGGACUGAGACACGGCCCAGACUCCUACGGGAGGCAGCAGUAGGGAAUCUUCCACAAUGGACGAAAGUCUGAUGGAGCAACGCCGCGUGAGUGAAGAAGGUUUUCGGAUCGUAAAACUC